rnacentral:snRNA from 1 species
AUACUUACCUGGCAGGGGAGAUAUCAUGAUCAUGAAGGUGGUUUUCCCAGGGCGAGGCUUAUCCAUUGCACUCCGGAUGUGCUGACCCCUGCGAUUUCCCCAAAUGUGGGAAACUCGAUUUAAAAUUUAGAAAAAAAAGACUAUCUAGCUCCAAAGUUCAUGUUCUUCC